UCACAUAUGUCGCUUAUUCGGUAAAUUAAAGUCAUUGAAUUUAGUCGGAACUAUUUCUUCCUCUUUUUUGUUGUAAUACCACCAAUAUCACGAAAUUUAAACAGGCAGCUAUCAACUGGCUAUCAUAAGCUUUUCUACACGGUAGCGCGAUAAUCGCGCAAGCGAUACAAGCAAAACUCCAUGUAAAGAAAAAAAGAAAACUUAUUUGGUUUCUUGUUGUUUUCGAUUCCACCAUGAGCCGAAACCAUUAUUUUAUCGAAAAAAAAACCCGGCAGUUUUAUAAUAAAAAAGCAGUGAUUGUUCAAAAUUAACAAAAAUAAUUAAUUUAUCCUAGAAACAUAGCAAUCCCACUGUUUAUUUUGGACGCGUAGUCUACGCCAGCUGUCCAUAGUAGGCAGAGAUCCAAACAGUGGCCGUGUGUAGCAAAACAGUGUUUUGUGUGGAAAAUAGAAUUGAAUAAUCCAAAACAUUUCACGGUUUUAUACAAUAACAAGUAUCGGCUGAAGCAGUAGUCGUGAAAAACUGGAAAAUACCGUGAAAUACCGUGAAAAUAGUGUCAUUUAUAACACAUUUCCGCGAUUUCAAAGCGGGCAUUCCUGACAAGCAGUUUAGUUUCGAAACUGACGAGCAGAGGGCGCUCGCUCGGUGUUGAAAUUAAAUACCCAGGUUCAAUCCUAAUUUAGAGACCCUCUCCCCAAAGGACCGUCUAUCCGGCUGCGUGGUACUGACUAAUGUCUCUAAAGCCUGUGCAGGCCGGAACGACCGUGUUCAGGUCGUUACGUUAAACAGUAAACGUUAAACAGGGGAAUCCAAAAUACGGCCCGCGGACCUUCUACUUUUCAAAGGCAGAACUCAAACGACAACUAUAAAAAGCUGCAGGAGACCAGUUUGGAGAUCCCUGCAGUAGAAGAACAAGAAAGCCAAUAUCCAAAGGAGAUCAGGAGAAAUUCAGUACAAAUCAGAUCAACUUAGCAUGUUAUCAAGCCUAGUGGCACCUCAGUCAGGUAGCUUCAAUAUAAGAAUUCACUAAUAUUUCUUAACUAAAAAGCUCCAACGCUCUAGACGUAUACAAAUAGAGCUUCUGAAUACACUAAUAUAUCAUGUAUUCAAAAAUUAUCAUCAAAUCGUGUCGUGAAAUACAGUUACGUAUUUCUCAAAACGAAUUUAUUAAAAAACUCUGAUACAACCUUACAAUACAGCCUUAACGCAAUGUUGAAUGCACCGGAUCGAUUGGGAAUUUGGAAGAUCGAUUGGGUUUUAGGAAAAACGAUUAGGUAACGAUUUGUGUUUGUUGCUGUCCUUAAAUAAGGAAAAGGACAUAGACACUACUUUCGGAUGGAUGUCUUAAAUUCUAUAAUUUCCAACGCAACAAACACCACCUUGCGUUACGUUUUUAACGUUUUGUCUUUAUUUGCCCAUGAUUGGUGAGUUUGCGUACGCAGUUAGAGAUAUCUUUACAGCAUAAUUUCUUUAGCGGUGCUUUUCUUACAAUACUCAUGUACGUGUAAAUGUGUGUCUGUGCGUAUGUGUGUAUGUGUGUGUGGGGAUGUGUCUUUCGGUGAGUCGCUCUUACACGUGCUCGCUUUCUCUGUGCUGUACAUCGAUCAUGGGCAUCGGAUGUAUUGGAACGGCAAAUUUGUUUGCCCUGUUUGAUUGUUUAAUAUCAGUGAUAAUAGUUGAUCGGUAUUAGUAUUAUUAUUAUUAUUAUUAUUAUUAAUAUUAUUUGGGUUUGUUUUCUUUUGUUUUAGUGGUAUAUUCAGGUUGAUCGUUUACGGUUAGGUCACGAAAACAUCUACAAGGAUACGAUUAGACUUCAAACAGUAGAGUGAUCAAUAUAGCAGUGUGUAACGAGAAAAACCGAUUCUUAUGAAAUAAAUAACACGUGAUUUAGUUCGCAUAAUACUUUUCAAGCGUUAAACAGUAGCACCGUUCUAUCCGGUGGUAACACAGUAACUAAUACAUUUCGCAAUGCGUUACGAUCCUUGUAACGCUAACAGAAAGAUAGUACGUUUAAAGGGUGUGCAUUCAGAUUUUGUCGAGUCGAGUCUUCCACGGACCAAAUUCUCACUAUAAGUGCAAUAGUUUCACAAUAAUCAUGUGUGUGUGUGUUUGUAUAUAUAUAUGUAUAUUUUGUUUGCUUCUCCAGCUCUAUACGUAGUAAAUACUCUCUGUAAGAUGGCGCACGAUCGAAUGCACACCCAUUCCCAUUUGUAUUUGUGUUUGUAUGAGUGCGCGUGUGUAUCACUACAGGUACACCGGUUGCAUUCUUCGAGCUAGCAAAAAACAAAACCAUCCAUAGUGCCAUCUCCCGUCCGGCGUAAGUUAAUAUGCUGCUGGUUUAAAUAUACUUCUCUCAAUAAAAA